rnacentral:rRNA from 1 species
AUGACGAUCCUUAGUUGGAACUGUCGAGGUCUCGGGCAGCCUCAUACAGUUCAAGAAUUCGUGUGCCUCAUGCAUACAUAAAAGCCCAAGCUCGUCUUCCUCACUGAGACACGGCAAAAUAAUAAGUACGUAAGCAACCUCAAGUGGAGGCUGGGCCUUCGUCAUUGCAUCACGCAACCCGGUAUCGAAAAAGGUGCCGGCAUUGUUCUCUUUUAUGAUGAAAAUGUGGAAAUAAAGAAGAUUGCUGUAGGGGCGAGAUACAUCGAUGUGUUGGUCCGGUUAAAUCCUCAUGGCCUACAAUGGCGAGGUACUUUUGUUUAUGGCGAAACGAAAGCACACGAACGCCACCUAAUGUGGACUCUACUAAGAAGAAUCAAAGAUACCAAUAACCUUCCGUGA